CGCCAUGGCACCAAAGGGACAGUUCGACAAGCAGGACAUGGAGACGAUUGUGAAGACUCUUUCCAAGGAAGCGAACCAGAAGGUUCUCUUCAACCAGGCUGCU
rnacentral:ribozyme from 1 species